rnacentral:rRNA from 1 species
GUCCUGGCCGUAAACGAUGGGCACUAACUAGAAGUCUCACCUGUGGGAUUUCUGGUGAAGCAAAUGUGAUAAGUGCCCCGCCUGGGAAGUAUGGUCGCAAGGCUAAAACUCAAAGGAAUUGACGGGGGCUCACACAAGCGGUGGAGCAUGUGGUUCAAUUCGACGCAACGCGAAGAACCUUACCUAGGCUUGACAUGCAGGGAUUAGAUCCGUGAAAGCGGGUCGAUUGCCUUCGGGUGUAACCUGCACAGGUGUUGCAUGGCUGUCGU